rnacentral:pre_miRNA from 1 species
CACUCCUGUCCUGUCUAUGGCACUGGUAGAAUUCACUGUGAAAAGACUCUAUCAGUGAAUUACCAUAGGGCCAUAAACAGAGCAGAGAA